CCUAACACAUGCAAGUCGAACGGUAACAUAGGUUGCUUGCAACCUGAUGACGAGUGGCGCACGGGUGCGGAACGCGUAUGGAACCUGCCCCUGUCAGGGGAAUAGCCCAUGGAAACGUGGAUUAAUGCCCCAUGGUACCGCCCUAUCGCAUGAUAGGGUGGUUAAAGAUUUAUCGGACAGGGAUGGCCAUGCGUACCAUUAGCUGGUUGGUAGGGUAACGGCCUACCAAUGCAACGAUGGUUAGGGGCCCUGAGAGGGGGAUCCCCCACACUGGUACUGAGACACGGACCAGACUCCUACGGGAGGCAGCAGUGAGGAAUAUUGGACAAUGGUCGGAAGACUGAUCCAGCCAUGCCGCGUGCAGGAUGACGGCCCUAUGGGUUGUAAACUGCUUUUGUACGGGAAGAAACCCAGGUACGAGUACCUGGUUGACGGUACCGUAAGAAUAAGGACCGGCUAACUCCGUGCCAGCAGCCGCGGUAAUACGGAGGGUCCGAGCGUUAUCCGGAAUCAUUGGGUUUAAAGGGUCCGUAGGCNGGGCCUGUAAGUCAGAGGUGAAAGGCCACGGCUCAACCGUGGGACUGCCUUUGAUACUGCAGGUCUUGAGUCAUGGUGGGGUUU
rnacentral:rRNA from 1 species